rnacentral:rRNA from 1 species
CCUGAUCCCAUCCCGAACUCAGCAGUGAAACGAAUCAGCGCCGAUGGUAGUGUGGCUUUUGCUCAUGCGAGAGUAGGUCAUCGUCAGGC